ensembl:misc_RNA 7SK 7SK RNA
GAAUGUGAGGGCGAUCUGGCUGCGACAUGGGUCCCCUCAUUGAUGGCCAGAGUUGAUUUGGCUGAUCUGGCUGGCUAGGUGGGUGUCCCCUUCCCCCCUCACAGUCCCAUGUGUGUUCCUCCCAAAGCUGUGCACUUAGUCAAAGAGGACAAAGAGGAUGGCCUUCCUCAAUAGAGACAAACUGGUCUUUGGUUGAGGAUUAGCUGUGCUCUCCUGCUAGAACCUCCAAACAAGCUCUCAAGAAUCAAAAUCUGAAUGGGCAAAUAUGAGCUCUUCUAGUAUUCAACAGACAUGACUUUUAGCACUCAAAAAACAUAAAAAAUAGUCUUUCAUGAUACUAAGCACUCUUUUU